rnacentral:rRNA from 1 species
AGUGAACGCUGGCGGUAGGCCUAACACAUGCAAGUCGAACGGCAGCACAGUAAGAGCUUGCUCUUACGGGUGGCGAGUGGCGGACGGGUGAGGAAUACAUCGGAAUCUACUUUUUCGUGGGGGAUAACGUAGGGAAACUUACGCUAAUACCGCAUACGACCUACGGGUGAAAGCAGGGGAUCUUCGGACCUUGCGCGAUUGAAUGAGCCGAUGUCGGAUUAGCUAGUUGGCGGGGUAAAGGCCCACCAAGGCGACGAUCCGUAGCUGGUCUGAGAGGAUGAUCAGCCACACUGGAACUGAGACACGGUCCAGACUCCCACGGGAGGCAGCAGUGGGGAAUAUUGGACAAAGGGCGCAAGCCUGAUCCAGCCAUACCGCGUGGGUGAAGAAGGCCUUCGGGUUGUAAAGCCCUUUUGUUGGGAAAGAAAAGCAGCAGGUUAAUACCCCGCUGUUCUGACGGUACCCAAAGAAUAAGCACCGGCUAACUUCGUG